CAGCAGCCGCGGUAAGACAGAGGAUGCAAGCGUUAUCCGGAAUUAUUGGGCGUAAAGCGUACGUAGGCGGUUUUGUAAGUUAGAGGUGAAAGCCCGGAGCUCAACUCCGGAAUUGCCUUUAAGACUGCAUCACUUGAACGUCGGAGAGGUGAGUGGAAUUCCGAGUGUAGAGGUGAAAUUCGUAGAUAUUCGGAAGAACACCAGUGGCGAAGGCGGCUCACUGGACGACUGUUGACGCUGAGGUACGAAAGCGUGGGGAGCAAACAGGAUUAGAUACCCGCGUAGUCCCUGUCUCUUAUAU
rnacentral:rRNA from 1 species